AAAUUAUUCACACCCAUUGUUUGGGAGAUUUCUCUUGGCGUUAACCGCAUAAUAUUUCUGGCUCUGAAGCAGCGGUAGAAAGGAUAGGUUUACAAAUCCACAACCCGUUGCCGAAAAGAGAUUCAGUCUUUUCAGGCUCGCUAGUCCCGGCGGCGCGUGAAUCUUACGCGACCUGUGAUGGCGGAGUACGGCGAAGGUAGAUGGAACAGCAAACGGUCGCUGUUAAUCGUGACGGUGAACUUUCUGUUGUUUGUUCUGGUUGCAGUUUCUGCAGACAGAAGCCUGAAGAUGCCGGAGAUUUCAACGACGGAAGGAACACCGCGAAGCUUUUCCGAUGAGCGGCGAGAUUUGAAAAAUCUUCUCGAAAUCGCGAAGACUUUUCUCUGGAAAUCGGACGGCUCUGGUUAUGAACAUGUCUGGCCAGACAUAAAGUUUGGGUGGCCCAUUAUUCUGGGCACAAUAGUGGGAUUCACUGGAGCGGCUUUCGGAAGCAUCGGUGGUGUUGGCGGGGGCGGCCUUUUCCUUCCAAUGCUUAAUCUCAUUCUUGGAUUCGAUGCGAAAUCCUCCACCGCCAUGUCCAAAUGUAUGAUAAUGGGUGCAGCUGUGUCAACUGUUUACUAUAACCUUAAACUGAGGCACCCGUUCUUUGAUGUGCCAAUGAUUGAUUACGAUUUGGUGCUUAUAGUCCAGCCCAUGCUCUUGCUUGGCAUCAGCAUUGGAGUUAUUUUCAAUGUCAUUUUUGCCGAUUGGAUGGUCACAAUUCUCCUCAUUGUUCUAUUCUUACUCAUAUCUACCAAGGCAUUUAUGAGGGGAGUUAAAACUUGGGACAAGGAAACGCUUCUCAAAAGGGAGACUGACUCUCAAAGUCAAGAUGGAGAGAGGGAGUACAGAACUAUUCCUGAUGGAUCACAACAGGAGACAGAGAAAGCACGAUCAAAAAUCUCAAUUGUCAAGAAUGUAUAUUGGAAGGAAUUGGGUCUUCUUUUGUUCGUUUGGGUUGCCUUCCUUGUCCUCCAGAUCUUCAAGGAGAGGACAGUAUCAUGUUCGUGGGAAUAUUGGACAUUAAACUUUCUGCAGAUCCCAAUAUCUGUGGGAGUAUAUUUGUACGAAGCAACUAGCUUAUACAAGGGACGAAAAGUGAUCGCGUCUUUAGGUGGACGUGAAACAGAAUUUCGAGUUGGGCAACUUGCAAUGUAUGCCUGUCUUGGCAUGUCCGCUGGCGUGGUCGGUGGGUUGCUCGGCGUUGGUGGCGGAUCCAUCAUGGGUCCAUUGUUUUUGGAGCUUGGUGUUCCCCCUCAGGUUGCAACUGCUUCGGCAACCUUUGCUAUGAUGUUUUCCUCAUCAAUGUCAGUCGUGGAAUACUACCUUCUGAACCAGUUUCCAGUGCCAUAUGCGGUAUAUUUGGCGGCGGUGGCGAUGAUAGCGGCGUAUUGUGGACAGCAUAUUGUGAGGAAAGUUAUUGCGUUGCUUGGAAGAGCUUCCAUCAUUAUUUUCGUUCUUGCAUUCACUGUGUUCAUAAGUUCUCUCACACUUGGUGGAGUGGGAAUAUCAAAGUCGAUUCAACGACUUCAACGAAAUGAAUAUAUGGGAUUUGAGGAUUUGUGUCGAGUUAGUGGUUAGACGAGAGAGAUUAAUUUCUAAGACCAUUCUGUUAUUGGUUAGACAAGAGAGAUUAAUUUCUAAUCUUUUUGUUUGAAGAUUCAAACUUUGCCGUUUCAUCGAGGUAAGGGUAGAGAUGCACCGGUGAUGGAUAAGCGGAAUCCGUGAUCGAGCCACUGGGACUAGUUUUUACGCUUCUGCAUAAAGAGAUUUAAAGUUUUUUUCAUAUUUCCCUUAAUGUUAGUUUUGAUGUUCGAACAUGUUAGUAAGAAUUGUU